rnacentral:misc_RNA from 1 species
AAGUCGUAACAAGGUUUCCGUAGGUGAACCUGCGGAAGGAUCAUUAGUUGACAGGCCGUUCACGCGGUACCUGAAACCCUCCUUACAGCGGCCGGAGUUCGGCGCCAGGGCGAAGCCCCCCCGGGGCGGAGUCCGCCGGAACCUAGCAAACCAUGCCUCGAAAACUGCGGUCUGAGAAUAUGAUAAAUUAGCGAAAA